UACGUAGGGGGGCAAGCGUUGUCCGGAAUCAUUGGGCGUAAAGAGCGUGUAGGCGGCCCGAUAAGUCCGCUGUGAAAGUCCAGGGCUCAACCCUGGAAUGCCGGUGGAUACUGUCGGGCUCGAAUCCGGAAGAGGUGAGUGGAAUUCCUGGUGUAGCGGUGAAAUGCGCAGAUAUCAGGAGGAACACCAAUGGCGAAGGCAGCUCACUGGGGACGGUAUUGACGCUGAGGCGCGAAAAGCGUGGGGGGAGCGAACAGG
rnacentral:rRNA from 1 species